UUCGCAAUGCCCGAAAGGGUGACGAAGCGACGCCGCGUGAGCGAAGAAGGCCCUAGGGUUGUAAAGCUCUGUCGGGGGUUAUGAAAUGUAGGUUGGUUAAUACCCAACCUGUUUGACAAAGGCCCCAAAGGAAGCCACGGCUAACUCUGUGCCAGCAGCCGCGGUAAUACAGAGGUGGCAAGCGUUGUUCGGUAUUAUUGGGCGUAAAGAGCACGUAGGUGGUUUUGUAAGUCAGAUGUGAAAGCCUUCUGUCCAAAGGAAGAACGGCAUCUGAAACUGCAGAUCUUGAGUGUAGGAGGGGAGAGUGGAACUUCUGGUGGAGCGGUGAAAUGCGUAGAUAUCAGAAGGAACGUCGGCGGCGAAAGCGACUCUCUGGCCUAUUACUGACACUGAGUGUGCGAAAGUUAGGGGAGCGAACGGGAUUAGAUACCCCGGUAGUCCUAACUGUAAACGAUGGGCACUAAGUAGAGGGGUUUU
rnacentral:rRNA from 1 species